rnacentral:rRNA from 1 species
UGGACGACUCUCGGCAACCGAUAUCUCGGCUCUCCCAUCCAUGAAAAACGUAACGAAAUGCGAUACCUGGUGUGAAUUGGAGAAUCCCGUGAACCAUCCAGUCUUUGAACGCAAGUUGCGCCCGAGGCCAUCCGGCUAAGGGCACGCCUGCCUGGGCGUCCCGC